rnacentral:lncRNA from 1 species
CGCAAUCUCUUCUCCCUCUCACGCGCUUCUCCGUCCCCAUCCGACUCCAGCCAUAACACAGCCGUCGCGGGGAGGACGGGUGGCAGGAGCGCGCGCGAGAGCGGUGCAUGUGCGGUCGUGCGCGGGAGGAUGGGCGGCGAGGGCGCGCAGCGCAGGCAUGCAGGCGCGCGCGGGAGGACGGGCGGCGGGCGUACGCGGGCAGGCGGCAGGCGGGCACUCCGGCCGCACGGGUAGCCGCACCGGCGGGCCGCAGGCGCUUCGGCCGC